AUGUAUUGUCACUUGUAAGACAAAGACUUUUCUGUCAUAAAAACACCGCCUUUGAUUGUAAUAAAAAUAUAUGUAUAAUCUUGAGUCUCGUUGUAAAUAUCGCAACAUUGAUUCGGGCAAGAAAGGUAUGUAGAGGGAACAUUUUUUUCAAGGAUCAAGACCAGCAACACUACAAAGACAACACAAUUCUCUAGUUGCUCCAUGAAAUUGUUCCAUAAUGGCAUUCAAUGAGGAAUAAAGGUAUUUUAGGAAGAAAACAAAACUUAUCUAAAGAAAGCAUGUGUUCUUAGAAAAAGUAAAGCUAUGGAAAGUUUUCAGCCAUUAAAUCGCCAAUUAGGCCUUGAUUCUGCACAAAUACAUAAAUCGUAGAUAUAUGAAAUUCUAAAUUCCAAGAUGGCGACUACCUCAGCUUGCGGCAGCGGAACCGGCGGAACCAGUAUAUUUCGCUUAGUUAUAGGGGUAGAGAUGUCAUACUAGGAUCACCAUUUAUUUCCUUUCUAAUCUG